AGUUGCUCCGGGCCCUCCUGAGCCAGCGAGUGGGGCUUAGUUGGCCGCUGGCGUCGCGCGCCCUUGGGGACAGAGCGUCCAGCAGAGCGAGUCAGCCCGGGCUCCGGACUGGGCUGGAGUUUGGCCUCUGAUCGCUCUCUCUCUCUCUCUCUCUCUCUCUCUCUCUCUCUCUCUCUCUCUCUCUCUCUCUCUCUCUCUCAUCUGACACCUCCCCCCUUUAAAAAAUAUCAAGAUCUACGUUCCCUUUGCACUUUUACAUUGCACUUCAUUAUUUCGGAUUUGGUUACGGCCCGGAAGGGACGGGGGAAGGACGCUAAGAGGGUGCACUGGAAAAAAAAUCUGGGAAGCCUGCAAAAGGAUUGAAGAGUGGAAACUAUUGUUGGACCGAGUUGGUUUUUACCUCAACAGCGCCACCUUUCGGCAAAGGGCUUUUCCUUCCAUGAAAUACUGGUUGUGCACAAGAGAUGUGAGAAAGCCAGAUGUUUUCUGGGAAGGUGUGCCAGAUUUCACCCAGAUCUGUUUCCUUCCUUUAUCUGACAAAUCCCAGCACGUCCUAGCAGACAGGAGGCACUGAUUUAAUAAAUAGUUUGGGGGAUACAUGAACACUGGAAUUAAAGGGGCUCUGUGGUUUUAGCAGUAGAGAUGUGAAACCAUGGGGCCUGUUUUCCCAGAUUGCCACCUUUUUUCUAUUUCCCCUUUCCUUUUUCAGGGCAUAGCCAUCUGCUUCUGCUUAGAUUUUUCUUUCCCUUCAAUUAAGGACUGACUGUGACUUGCUCUUCCAUUCUCAUUGCUUUUGAUCCCAUUCGCAGCUUAUGCCAGUGAGGGAAUUUAUCUCCAAAGCAUUCGACCCUUCGAAGAUUUUACUGUCAUCGACUCAGAACUGCUCUUAAGAAAAGCAAAGGAAAUUAAAAAAAAAAAAAAAAAAAAAAGGAACCUGAUAUCGGGAGAAUCUUUUCACAGGCAGUGUCUUCUACGCCUAAUAACUCAGAGGACCCAGGCUGGGUGGUGGUGCUGGCCCAGAAGUUUUGUCCCCUCCCUUCCUGCUCCUGCUGAAGGGGACUCGGAGCUCUUCCUCCAGAAGGGUUGGGCAGCCAUUCAACCUGGGAAAGAAACGCAGUUCUAGAAAGCACAGAGCAAACUUUCUUCACAGAAAUUCUUCUGUAGUUAUGGGGAAAGGAUGCUGAAGCAGGUGUUUUCUGGACUUGUGAGUUUCUGGAUUUGUUUGGCCGAGGCCCAGGGAAAAGGGGUCUCUUCCAGCUGUUUCACAUCAUAGUUCUCCCUUGCCUCCUGGGUGUGGCUGAGCUCUCUCAGGCAUCCUUCUGUGCAUUGGAAACACCAGACACAUCCAGAAUGUCCUCACAGCAGCCCCAAUGCAGCAGAACAUUCCCGAUCUGGAUCUGAUGAAGGACAGGAAGUGGGGUCACCACCUCCACCCCACCCCAAAUAAAAGUCAAGGUCAGAUAUAGCCCUUCUGAUAAACUUUUGUAUUUUGUAAUGCUAUAACAGUGAUACAUGCUCUUUGUUGAAUAUGAGUGCUUAGACAAGACCGAAAUGGGAAGUUUUAUCAAAGAAGAAUGCUGCUCCUCAUUUUGACUUUUCAACCAGGUAUAGCAAACAGUGUCCAGGACCAUGGAAACAUUUUAAUUUCUUUUAAAAUCAGAAGGAGAGAAAGCAUGGGUUAUACCUUUCACCAUAUCUCCACAGUCAUAAUAUAUAUAUGUAUAUUAUGAGAAGGAGUCUGUGGAGGACAUGGUUCCCAGGACUCACAAAAGUCCACACAUGACCUUGACAGAUGAACUUGAUCCCCUCCAGUGACAAGGGGCUUACUACCUAUCUGUCCUCAUCUGGCUGCAGUUCUUGGACCAUCAGAAAUAUUUUGUGUAUUUGCUUUAGCAUGAAGUUUUCCCCCUUUCUUCUGUAUGUGCAUCCUGGUCUCAUAAGCUCACAAGACCAUGCAAUCACGAGGUCCUUAUGUUCCACAGGGCCCCUCGGAAGUCAAAAACAAUGAAUGGGACCCCCUUCCCUGCCUUUCUGUUGCAUUCUGCACACAGUGCCUUCAGCAUUUGCACAUAGGCGCUGGUUUCAGGAGCCCUGCCUCCUGGUUGCUGAUGCCCUGCAUGCUCACAGGGUUCUGCUGCCCUUGGAGGGUCCAAGUUCCAGAUCCAGACCCAGGUGUCCAGGUGUGGCCACUCAUUACACAGCCAGCGCCACACUCUGCCCCCUUGAGCUGCAGUCCAGCAGACACCUGCCGCUGGAGACUCACGGUGCCCACACCAGGGGCACAGACCCUGGCCUCUCCUUCUUAUGUUCUGCAUCCUGGAUUUGUACCCUUCUGGUUUUGAAUCCAAGCACAAAAAUGUCCAACAACAUCUUCCGCAGGCUCCAGCUCAUCGGGUUCAGCUUACGCCAUGUGAUCUAAAUCUCUGGGGUUCAGAAUGUGCUAUGGACUAUUGUUAAUUUGCUUCCUAGCUUUGUGGCAGCUGCAGAUGACAUUGAUGUGCCAUUCACAUGACUUAAUCUGUCUGAACCAGGUCCCUGCUUUGCAUGCUGGGAUACUGUCGGGAUCAGCGAUUGUUCUCCUACAGAACGGGGCCGCAGAGGAUCUCCUCUCCACUUUCCCUAUGAGCCCUGUGAAAUGUGGAUAGCAGCAUUAGAAGGGUCAAAACCCUGUGGCAUUCCAGCAGAGCCUGUCCCUCCCAGUGCCCCCACGAUCAACACAAAGUGACCAAGAGAUCAUUAAGUCCCCUAACAGACACUUGAAAUAGACACAGCCUAUUUGUCAAUUGGGGUAAUUUUAAACUCAGUUACCCCACCUGGAGUCCUCCAUAGAUCUUUCUGAUGAAUUCUGAAAGUAACCUCACUUCUUCACAGUGUAGGUGAGCUUGCCAUUGAGAAGGAUGGAUAACUAGAUAACUGUAUCACAUUUCACACCUGCCUUGGCCUUUGUAAACCUUUGCCCUGUCAAAAUACAUAGCAGUUGUCCACAGCUGGAACCUCAG
ensembl:lncRNA